ensembl:snRNA U2 U2 spliceosomal RNA
AUCGCUUCUCGGCCUUUUGGCUAAGAUCAAGUGUAGAGUUUGUGCAAAAUGAACGUUUUAUUAAUUUUUAUUUUUAAAAAGCUUUUUUCACCUCAAAAAUUCUAAUGCAAAAAAACAAUGAAAUGCAAAGGGAUCAUUCUGGACUA